rnacentral:rRNA from 1 species
UGCCAGCCGCCGCAGUAACACGAACCGUCCAAACGUUGUUCGGGAUUACUGGGCGUAAAGAGCAUGUAGGCGGAUGAAUUAGUCAGAGGUGAAAGCCCCGAGCUCAACUUGGGAACUGCCCUUGAUACUGUUUAUCUAGAGUCCGAGAGAGGUUAGUGGAAUUCCCAGUGUAGAGGUGAAAUUCGUAGAUAUUGGGAAGAACACCAGUGGCGAAGGCGGCUAACUGGCUCGGUACUGACGCUGAGAUGCGAAAGCGUGGGGAGCAAACAGGAUUAGAUA